CACGAAGGGUGCAAGCGUUACUCGGAAUUACUGGGCGUAAAGCGUGCGUAGGUGGUUCGUUAAGUCUGUCGUGAAAGCCCCGGGCUCAACCUGGGAAUGGCGAUGGAUACUGGCGGGCUAGAGUGCGGUAGAGGAGAGUGGAAUUCCCGGUGUAGCAGUGAAAUGCGUAGAGAUCGGGAGGAACAUCAGUUGCGGAAGGCGGCUCUCUGGACCAGCACUGACACUGAGGCACGAAAGCGUGGGGAGCAAACAGG
rnacentral:rRNA from 1 species